AUUUGUCCUUACCGAAUGCAUAUAUUUACUGAGUGUCUGCCUUGUGCCAGGAAGCAGCACUCCCCUUUCAGCCUGCUUCCCACUCCAGCAGGAAGAAUGGUGAAGGGACAAAGGAACCAGCCCAGAGAACAGGAGCACUGCCACUGUGGAAUGCUGGGCCCUGGAGACAUCCUGAUGGAAAACACAAGACUGGCCUUCCCCUCGGCUUUUUCAGUCUGAGGUCAUCACGAUGCCUCAUUACGGAAAAAUCCCAGAACAUUCACCCCCCUCCAGCAAAAGAACUCCAUGCACUUUCACCUGCAGAUUUCAUAAUUGAUUCUCUGUGCUGCUGGCAUUCUCCAUAUCCCACAGAGCUGUGCGCUAAAAUCCAGAGCAAUGAACACACCUAAGAAAAAUGACGCUUCUGAGCCUACCCCAUGGUGCAGUAAAUUUGAAAGUACUCUUAAUAACAAUCAGGGGCAACAUUGACUUUAAUGGUCCUCAAAUCCAUCACGUAAUUUCAUUAGCCACCCAGCACAGAUGCAAAAAGGGGUGAUGUCAUACUUUUUCCUCUUGCUCUGAAACCCGAGUCAGGCGCCAGAGAUGGAAACUAGUUUUAGAGACUCUAAUCGGAUUAAAGCUUCUGGCAGCCACUGAUCAAUAGGUGGGAGCCAGAGGAAUCCCAAAAUGUGCAAAGCCCUCUCAGGCCCCUUCACGGGCACAGCCUCACUCAAGCAGAAGGGAGGUUCAGGUCUGCAAAUGGGGAAAAUCAAGAUGCUGUGUCCAAAGGCACUGUGCUAUUUCCAGUUUUCCCCAGGACCCAGGUCCACAUGGGAGAGCGGGGUCAUCACUGAAGCAGCAGCCUCAAAUACUACUCCGUGAUCUAACUUCUCACACGCCAUCAUAUUGGAAACCAGCAGUUCAAAGCCUGGGCUUUGGAAUCAGCCACAACUUGAUCCAAAACCUAGCUCUUCCACUGACUACUUUAACCCUGAGAGAGCAACCCUACCUCUCUGAGAUGCAGCUUCCUCGUCGCAAGGUGCAAAUAACACCACCUACCUCACAGAGGUGUAGUGACAACAAAGAGCUCGUGUGUGUUACAUGCUCGUGACAGUCCCUGGGCCUAUGUAUUUACCUGCUCAAUAAACGAGAGCUAAGAAUGAAAAGAAAUGAUCACCUGUGAUGAAGAGCCACCAAUAAUCAUUCUAAUUCAUAGAAGUCUGAAAUUCCCCCUCAAACAAGAGAGAACAUUUUAGCCUCUAUCAUUUUACUUAUCUCAACUUUCCCAUCUCUCAAAACUUAGCAGGAGCAAGAAGCCGGUGCCUGGAUGUGCUUCUAACCUCCAGGUUGCUUUAACAAGAACUUCAGUAACAUGGCAAAAUACAAUGACCUCAUCAUCCCAGUGUUGCAGCAGUAAAAAAAUCAAUGCUACUUAAAAAGCCUGACAAUCAAUCAAGGUCUAGCCAGAUAUCUGUGGAAGUCAAACAGGCCCGUAUAAAAACUGAUUCACCUAGGGAUCUCAUUAAAGGUCUGCAGCAGUAUUUCCCUGAUGUAAGCCGGGAGUUUUCAUUUGGGUUGUUUUUUCUUUUUUCAACUAUGGAAUCCCUGUGAGAUCAGGGCUAUACUUCUCCCCUGCAGCUGGCUUCGGAGCACUUCUAUUAGAUGAAUGUCCUCACUUGCAUUACCAGUGCAAACGGUCAUUCAUGUGUCAGUGUCAUUCCACCCUCCCUUGGUGACUGGUACUCUCUCCUACUGAAAGCAUACUCUGCUUUAGUCUGGAGGAAGCUCUUGAAAAAGUAAUAAACACGUUUUAUUUUUAUUGCACUAUACAAAGUAGUGUAGAAGUUAUAAAGAGUAUAAUUUUAAGAGGAUGCAUUUGUAUUCUACGGGCCUUUUUCUAAAACCCCAUAAUUCAAAUAUUAAUGUAAAACAACUUUCCCCCUUCUGAGCUCAGGUCAUUUUAAGAAAUAGCACCUCUUAUGGGCCAGGCAUUCUUCUAGGCACUAGAGAUUCAAAGAUGGAUAAAGCACAAGCCUUCUCCUCUCUGGGAUUGUGUGAGACUAAUAAGCACAGAUACCACUAACUCCAGACCCAGUCCCUGAAAAACAAAAACAAAAACAAAACAGGAUGAAAGACAGGGUGUGGCACACACCACAUUUUUUCCCCUCUAGGAGUUAAAAGGCUACUAGACUCUGGAUUAUCCACUCCAGUACAAUCAACUUAGAGUGGAAACUUAAACUAGUGUGAAAAAUGGGUGAACUGGAAUGAGAGGCCCCGCUGUUUCCAGCAGCAUUAGCAACUUACUCAUUGAGAAACUAAAUAAAACUAAAUUCAGGACCCAAUUCUCAGCCUGCUCCACAUCCCAUGAAUACAUGGUGAGAAAGGGAAUUAGCUUACACAUUACAAAUAAUAUAUUCUUCAGCUCCUCAAGAGCAUGCCUUAAUUUCUUUAAUUAGUCUCCCUAUCUAUAAGUAUAUUAAUACCUAUCUGGUAAGGUUGUUGUGAGACUGAAGUGCAACAAUAUAUAUAAAGUGUAUAGAAAAGCACCCAGCUUGUAUUAGGUACUCACUGAAAGACAGCUAUAAGAAAACUCAGUUCCAAGAUACCAAAAGGAGUGGUACCACAGAUGCUAUGCCUCCUGGCUAGCUUCUGCUUUUUCUUAUUUUGAAGCAGGAAAAGCCGACUUUUCUCUAGUCACAC